UAUUGCAAACAGCUCUUAUAGAAUUUGUUUGGCAGGCCUUCUGGUCUCCACCAGAAGGCGCCCUU